GAGCCAUUUCACUGAAACGACUUUUAUUUAGGUCUUGGUAACUAAAGAUCAACUCACGAAAUUGGGAAUACUCAUAAAAACUCCCGAGGUAAACUCGAUAAGAACUGAACUGCAGCUUUUUUUAAGGACUGGAGAAAACUCAGAUAUUCAUUUGGGCCAAUGGACUUUGUAUCCGGCUAAUAAAUAAAUAAAUAAUAAAUAAAAAUAAAAAACUCAGAUACGUCUCAAGGCAAGCUCUGGACUGGCACCCCAGUACCAAGCCACCUGAGGCGAACCUGGCAGCGGAGAUGAAGACAAUCUGGUUAGCCGGAACCGAAGUAAAGCGCAUAGCCGAAGACCGAUCGGUAUGGCUUCUUCUUGAAGCCUUAUGCCUCACCUGGAAGCUUUAUAUCCUUAAACAACAACAACAAAUCAGGCAAUACUCUACAAUUGCACCCAUUUAAGUUGAGUUUUUUGCAAUUACAAUUAGACACAAGAAAAUACUGAAUUAAAUAAAUAAAAAUUGACUGAUUACUUCUUAUUUCCAUGUAUGAAUGGGCUCAAAAUUAAAUAAACCACUAUUUGUCAUUAUUAGAACUAUUAUUAAUAUUAAGUUUAUUAUGCUACUAACAACAUGUAAACCGAUCCCCUUUGCAUGCAGACUCAUUCGCAUUAGUUUUCAACAAAAUAAGUAGGUAAAUAAAGUUUUAGUUUAACAAAACUGAAA